rnacentral:lncRNA from 1 species
UUUCAACAGGCUCACAUAUCUACCAGCAAUCAGCAUUCCACUUUUGGUGACAAUAUUGCUUUUGCCAACUUUGCAUGUGUGUAUCACAUGCCUAUAGAACAAUUAACUGUAGUUAAUUCUGAAGUUCAAUGUUUGUCUGCUCAGUUAGGAAAGAUACCUUGGAUUUGGCCAUUUGGGUUUAACAAAUCACAUGACCUCCAAUAAACAAUUUUUACACAAUCUACAACCUUUACCUAAGGCUUAACAUUGGAUUUGGCUGCUAGUGUUUUGAAUCCUGCAGCACCUGGGAAUGGUAAUCCCAUAAGUGUUACUAAUCCUAAAUCGAAAAGGACUGGAGGUGAUGAAUUAAUGCUUGUGAAGGGUCAGGAUAAACCUACACGUGAUGUUCCUGCUUCUAUAGCCUAGAGAGAAUUUACAAUGCUGUAAAUCCAGUUGUACAAGCUAGGCAGAUGUGUGACAGUCAUGACAAAGCUGGACAAACUCCUACAGCAGCGCGAUAUGUUGGUGUUAUUGAAGGGAGUAACGAUGAUCAGAUUGAGAGGAAAGCAGUUGGACAAACUCCUAUGGCUAAAGGUGUUGGGCAUGUACUUGAUACUUCAAAGAAAACAGCUACAAAUGCAAGGACUGGACAUGUUUGUGAUACUUUGGGCAAAUGUGUUACAACUAAAGAUUAUGUGGUUGCUGGUGUUACUACAUGUUCUGUUGCUGGACAAAAAUCUACAAAAGUUGGGACAGUUAUAUCAAUAUUACUAAUUUCAUUAGGAGCAAUAUACAUUCUGAGAGACUUCCUAGGCUUGGCACUUAUAUAAUAGAAAUUUGGUACUACUGCUUGGAAGCAUAUAGUUAUCGCUAAAGAGCUCCAAUUGGCAUGAUUGUUGAAAAGAGCCGUAUAAUAUUAGUGGUUAAACAAUAUAAAAUGCAUCUAAAGCUUCCAAGUUCUCUUUCAGUAGCUUUUCGAGCACCUUCAAUGGGAAUUUUACAAUGAAAGUUUUUUCAAAAGGGAAAUUGAACGUCUGAAAUCCAGCUUGGUGCUUUGACAACUUAGACAUACAAAUUGCACAACUUCUUGUAAUUUUCUACUGAAAGAACGAAAGGUACUUGUGCAUUCCACAAAUUGGAAUUCCCAAACUACUAGUUCCAAGACAUGGGGAUAAGAAGGGUAGAGGAUUGGUGGGAGAAAACAUUUUUUAAGAUGCAAAGUUAUACUACCAAAAUGGAGAGUUUACUGUAUUUUGCUUAUUUAGAUACUUUAUGAUUCUCUUUAUCUAUUUUCUGCGGGAGUCACUAAUGCUUUUUGUUUUUGUUUUGUUUUAUAGCUGUUUUUCCUUUUGUCCUAUGCGCCGAGGGUCGAUUGGAAACAGCCUCCCUGCCCUUUCGGGUAGGGGUAAGGCUUGUCUACAUAUUACCUUAGAUACUUUAUGAUUCUCUUUAUCUAGCUUGUAUCACAUACUUUGGUAUCUUCUUGGGUUUCUAUAUCUCUCCCUCUGGAUAGUUACUGCCUUUUUGCCUUUCAAUUUUGGUUUAAAAUAUCCAUUUGCAUUUGCUUAUAAAGUAAGUAACCUCGGGAAUGUGCAUGGCGGUUCAAGCAUUUUUACCUUCUGAAUCUCAGGGGCUCCUAAGUAUUAUGGCAGGAUUUAUUCUCAUAUCUCCAGUAAUAACCUCGUUUACAUAGUAUUGUCUACUUGUAUCUACAUUCGUACUCAUAUGUUCGUCUUUCCUUGUAUACUUGUAUUUGCUUUUGUCUACCUAUAUGAAGUAGCUUUUCGAACAUCGUCAAAAUUCCCUGAAUGCUUACUUCCAUAUGACUUCAGAAAAGAUUUCUGAAGUAUGGUGGAGAAUUUGAAAUGCUUUUAUAGUAAAAGCUACAAUCAUUCUUUGAUUAUUCAGAUGUGAAGUGAUCUUAAGGCACAAAUGUUGAUUUAACAUGCCCUGCAAUAUGAAGGAUACUCUAUCUACUUUUGUUGAAAACCUAGCAAUUCUAAGAUGGAAUAUUGAAGGAUACUCUAUCUACUUCUAGCCGAUUGAUCACAACUUCGUUAUUUCUAGCUGCUAAGUUAUAAGCACAAAAUAAUGCAGCUGUUACUGCUUAAGUUGGUGCGCAAACUAGUGACAUAUGGACAGUAGUGAUGAGGUCUCCUACUAAGCGAAAUACUGCUCCAGGUGUGAAGAAUCAACAGCAGAAUAUGAGUGUUCCAACUGCUCGACAAAUCACGUCAAAGGCUAUCACAAGUCCAAAUAGUUUUGAAGCACUAGCCGAAGAGGUGAACUUUGGUGUUAACUCUCUAAUAGUCAAGGAUACUGGAUUGAUGCAGCAAAUUGCACCAUGUAUUAGUACUAGCUAACAUGAUCAGUCAAGUGAAAAUCUUUCUAAGAAGUUGGGUGUUCGACAAAUUGCCUCGGAGAAUAAUUUAAUUGAGAAUGUGGGGAUGAUCAAAUAGUGAGAUAUAGCACUCCUGGGUUGCAUUUUUCCAGCCCAGAAGUUGAAAGAAUUAUCAAAGAAACUCAGAUUUCCAUGAUGAUGAAAGCUAACCCUACGAUCAACCAACAUGUUCUGUGUAUACUCGUUUAUCUCGUUCUUCUAUUCUAUCUAUUCUCAGUUAUUCGAUACUACAAUCUUUUUUUCAAAUUUCACUUUGAAUAGAUACUUUUAGUGUUUAAAUAUAAGUAAAAGAUUAUUCUGAUCCUUUCAGACCUUCACAUGGAAAAACUAACCAGUUGAAAAAUAUUUUUCGAACCUUUUAGCCGCUAAAACUCCUCUUUGUAAUAAGGUAAAAAUCAAUAAUGAGCCUAAUAAUGCACUAAAUCACCAACUAACAAUAGAGUAAAAACAGUAUAUAUAUCAUAAUCAGGCAAAAAGUUUGAACAUGGUUGAAUUCAUAGUUCGACUACUGGCAUUCAACUAAAACAUCAAUACGCAUCAACGACACUCAGAAAUUUUUUGAAAAAUCACAAAAAUAACAGUAGCCUUAGAAAACAGAGGAACCAAUUCAAUAACAAUAGAGUAACAGAUGAGGAAUCAAUUCAAUCAAUCGACUACCAAUCUAACAACAACCAGAUAUCACAAACGACUUAGUAAACACAGAAAAAGCUAUAAUUUCACUAAUCCCAAAAGGCCAUAGUUCGAUGACAAAAAUCAAAAUUAAAGAUUGUUACCUGAUAAGCAAAGUUUUUUGCCGAUUAAGACAGGAAAUUGAAGGAAACGAAUGCUUUAUGCAAUAAUUCUUGAAACCUACACGAAAACAAAAGUUGUAGACGAAUGAGAAGGAGAAGAUUGACAACGAAGAUUAAAAAUAAUCGAGCAGCAUCAACCCAAAUUUAUAUGUAAUGGAUUGAGAACGACCUGCGAUGGCCGGAGACGAGGGAGGCUUUUGCAGCGAUAGUGUUAACGCGUACGUUUUCCUAGCGUCGUUCUUCGUUCUAAUUACAGGGUUUUUCCUAGUAUUGUUUUUCUAAUCGUAGGGUUUUCUAAUAGGAGGGAAUGUAAUUUUUUGUCCCAAAAAAUUUGGAGGGAAGAUUUAUU